GAGCUGCUGGUUCUCCACAGCUGAGAAUCUCAGGCUCAAAUUCCAGGAAUGUGGAGAGAGAUUUCCACUCACCCGUGCCGAUCUUCGCCAUUGCUACUGACACUCUCCUCGCGCACCUCGCAUUCUCGAUCAGCGUCAUGGACGGAUGAGCAGCGGCCUUCAUCGCCCUAGAUCGUUGCUGAAUUUGUCUAACGAAAAACCCUAAAGAAGGUUCUAGCUAAGUAACUAAAAUAAACUACAAAACUUUCAAACCCUGAUAGGGCUGGGCAUCACUUAAAG
rnacentral:lncRNA from 1 species